rnacentral:tRNA from 1 species
AGGUGUAUGGCUCAGUGGUAGAGCAUUUUUCUGCAGAUCAAGCGGUCUCAAGUUCAAAUCCUGGUGCCCCUC